rnacentral:lncRNA from 1 species
AAAUUGAUGUUUAGAUUCUAAAGCAUAUUUUUGAUGAAAGUAAAGAAGUGAUAUGAAAUUAUGGGGUUAGAAGUGUUUGUGUUUUGUACUAGUAAACAACAUAGUAACUUUACCAGCUAAGCAUGUGCUAGAACGAAAAACAUGAAAGGAAUGGUGAAGAAAUUUGAAGGUACGAAAUAAAGAAAGUGGUGGCAGUGGAAGAUUAUAUUUAUAUAAUUAGAAAAAAUUGAGGGAAAGUAAGAAAAAAAAGGUGGAAUUGGUACGAAUGGAAAGGGUUGUGUUUUAUGGGAUUUUGCAAAAUUUACUUUGUGAAAAGAAAGCCCUAGCUAGGAGAUGCUUCUUCGUUUCCCUAUCUUAUCUUUACCCUUUUAUUCUUGCUUUUUUCCUACACUUUAUAUUCCCUAUAAUUUAUUUUUUUUUAAAAUAAAAAAGAAAAAUUCACUUUCAUUGUCCUCUACUAUAAAAUUUCCAUUCCAUUUCAUACACAUCUUUUUUGCUUAAGUUUUUAUCUCGUUUUUACCACUUAAAGCUUUCUAAGAACCACCUAAAAUUAUAAUGUCAUAUUCCCCACAUUUCUAUCAUCAAAAUUCAAUCAAGGAACCUAUUAAACACCAAAGUGUCUCUAGAGCUCCCAUUUCAGUUGUCCACCUUUUGUCCUCGUAAAACCUUUCUAUAAUUCAAGCCAAGUCUUGAAAGGCCUUUCCAUAACUGACUUUAACCAAACCUUACC